rnacentral:rRNA from 1 species
UACGUAGGGUGCGAGCGUUGUCCGGAAUUAUUGGGCGUAAAGAGCUCGUAGGCGGCUUGUCGCGUCGGAUGUGAAAGCCCGGGGCUUAACUCCGGGUCUGCAUUCGAUACGGGCAGGCUAGAGUUCGGUAGGGGAGAUCGGAAUUCCUGGUGUAGCGGUGAAAUGCGCAGAUAUCAGGAGGAACACCGGUGGCGAAGGCGGAUCUCUGGGCCGAUACUGACGCUGAGGAGCGAAAGCAUGGGGAGCAAACGGG